CUCUCUCACUUCGUCUCCCUUCUCUCAACAUCCAAACCCUAGCCACCAUGAAACCCUCACCGUCUCCACCGCAAACCACCCACCGGAAAUCGCUUCACGGCGGUUCCGGUGGUCCAAUCGACCCCAAAUUUACACCCUAAAUUCCCCUUCACCUCCUCAUUCUUAAUAUCCAAUUAGCUUUCUUCGAAUCCCCGCUGAGCUCUUUGAAUCUUGAAUCGAAGAAGCCGUCCAAAACCCUAAGUCACACAAAAAUCCCCAAAUAAAUGCCAUGGGAUCUUCGUCCUCUUCUCAUCCUAAAUCCCCAACCAAUUUUCUUCGAAUCCCACCAAAUGGCUCAAAUCUUGGAUCUAAGAUUCAAACCAAAAAUCCUAAUCUCCUCAAAUCGACCCCAAAGCUUCAUUAAUUUUCUUUUCCGUCAAGUUUAGGCUCCCAGAAGUCUUUUCUCUUAAGGAGUCAAAACCAUGCAGAGCUGGAUCCCUUGAGGGAAAAGACCUCUAUUGGUCAAAGCAAGGUUCGACUCCAAAGCUUUUGUCGUUUCCAAGUCACAAUGGUAAGCUUCUGCCAAGCUCUUUUCUCCUUUCUUUCUUUCCUCCUUCUUUCCUUUUCAAAUAUCGAGUCAGUGUUCUUCGUACUUUGAUUUUUAGUUUGGGAAAUUUGUUUGUUUAGUUAAGAAUUCUUGUUCUAGAAUGCAUUAGUUACUCCAGUUUGUUUGUUCAAGUUUCAUUAGGUUUAACUGAUUUAGUAUUAGUUCAAGAUUAAUCUAGCUUAUUAGAAUAAUUAGCACUUUCAGUUAUUUUUAGUGUGAAUGCAUUGUUUUAACUAGACUUUAAGUUAGGUUUGAUAUCAUGUUAAUCUAGAGCUUAUUAUGAAUUGUUUUCAUAUGUCAAUUAAAGCAUAUUGUAGUUUAUUUUUGAUUGCAUUAUAAUAAUUAGGGUUAAUGUUAGAGGUACAGAUAGCCUGAUUGCUCUUUUCUUCUUCAUGUUUCAGUAUGGUAUUUAAUUGAUAAAAACAUGCCUGAAUCUCAUGAGUUUAGAUUAAUUAGGUUCCUAUUUUUCUUUCAUGAUUAGGUUCAAGUCUUUAAUCAGGUUAGAUAAUUUAUUCACUUUGUUUCUGUUACCAGUAUAGUUUCAAUUUAGUGUUCUUUAGGGUUAAUUAGAUAAAUAGCCUUUAUGGAUCAAUGGGUUAGUUUUAAAUUAGAAUUAGAUCAGUAGGGUUUGUUUCAACAUGAUAAUUUAGUCUCUUAAAUGCUUUCUGGAUUUGUUUGGCUUGAUUUGGAAACCAAUAGAAACUUUAAGGACUUAUUUUGAGGUAAAAGAGUCUAGGUAAAUUGAAAUAAGCAGUAACUUAAAGGGUAAAAUUGGAUUUUUACUUAAGCCAAAAUUAUAAGGUUCUAGUAUUUAGGACAAUUGUCCCUAUCCUUAGCAAAAAUGCUGAUAUUGGAUAAGAAAAGGACAUACAACUGUCAAAAGAUGCUGUACUAUUCUGAAAUUUCAUAUUGGAUAAGAAAAGGACAUACUCUGCUGAAAAGACUAGGGUUUCAAAUUUAGAAAAAACUUUCCUCCUUGGUUUUCUUAAAAGCUGAAAAUAUGAUUUGAAGUAGAAGGUUCUUUUCCUGGUUUUCCUUGGCUAAAGUCUCUUGGUUCUUAAGGAUAAACUUGGUUGUGAUUUGGGUGUCGUUUGCUGUUUGCUGCUGCUCAUUACCUUUUGGGAAAGCUCAAUUGUUUUAGUGACCUUUAUUUGGUCUUUCUUGAAUCAUCUAUAUGUAUGUAACUACACUCUAGCUACGAGAAUGAACUUGUUUGUGCAAUCUGAAGUUAUUCAUGACUAUGUGUGUAUGGUUGUAUGUUUCAAUAAUAGAAAUUUAUGUGUUGUUCAUUGUUCUUCAUCAUAUUUACAUGUUUAUUUCUAUGCAUUUCAGUAUGCAGGAAAAUGUUUUAAAAGAAAAAGCCUUGCCUUAAAACAACAUUUAGUUGGUAUUAUUCAUAAUGCUUACUUUCUCCCCUUCAUCUGAUUCCUUCUACUCAACAUACUGUUUUUAUUUUUCAUUUUUUCUAUUGGCUGUUUGGUCAUGAGUUGUAGUCUAUUAGUUCAACCACCAGUUGGUUGGAUCAAUUGGAUUUGAAAGCUUUAAGGUGGG
rnacentral:lncRNA from 1 species